AAUUAAUUCAACAUCGAGGUCGCAAUCUUAACUAUUAAUAAGAACUUGUUAAUUAAAUAACGCUGUUAUCCCUAGAGUAACUUAUCUAAAAAUUCUUCAAUAUAAAAAUUAAUAUCUUCAUCAGAUUACCCCAACCAAAAAAUAUUUAAUUUUUAAGCUUCUAGGGUCUUCUCGUCCCAAGGUUUAAUAAAAGCAUUUUUACUUUUAAUUUAAUUUCAAAAAUUUUAAAUAAAACAUUCCUUAAAGUUUCUACCCUUCAUUCCAGUUUUCAAUUAAAAAA
rnacentral:rRNA from 1 species